CUGUAAGCAAAGAUAACUGUUUCAAGAACUUUUGAGCCAGGUUUGCAAAACUCUGUGUGGCAACCAGGGCGGAUCCUCUGAAGGGCCAGCCUCUUAUUGGGUAGAGUUUUCUGAGGUAAGAAGCCGCACUUCUCCCUCCUUCUCUAACAAAAAGCCAAGAGGUACAAAUUCCUACUUAUGCAACAGGAAAAUGACUGAUUUGUUCAACUCUUCACCUCACCACAUUAGUCUUGUGCUGCAGUCAAGCUACAGUCUUUCCUUCACCCACGGGAGGUGCUGAGUGUUGGUGGGACAGCCCAACUUUUGAGGAUUUGCUUUCCAUGUUAGAGUGCGGCCUGCUGGGCCAGCCAUGGAGGGAUGGCUCCAGCCUCCUCACGCUCUCUUCUAAAGAGUGAACACCUAGAAUUCAGUUGUGCAAUCAGAAAUUCAUUCAUGUGAGGAAAAAGCAGUUAAAACCGAUGGAAAAACGCCAAAGAAAGUGACUGUCAGACUGAUUGCUUUUUGGCAGAGACUGAGAUCAAGAUUUACCAAGGAAAGCCCACGUAUAUAUGACCCAAGAGGAAGUGCCAGAGCUUAAGAGCAUCACGAAGCGUGGAAACUGGAAUUUCAGUUACCUUGCAAGAUAUCAGGUGCCUCCUUCAAAUGAAUUUUUAAGUAUCUCCGUGAUGAUGAAGAAGAACAGAGACAUCAAUUAGGAUUCAGGAAGACAAGUCUUUGCAGAAAAUGCUUAGAGCAUCAAGGAUUGCUAUUAAUAUUUGAAAGUUUAAAAGAGGGCAUACUUUUCUUCAGUCAACAAAUGACAAAAGUAAAGGCAUUGUUUUCGUUGUUCCUGGAAGAAGCCUGGCAGCAUUCCAUUCAGUCAUCUGCCCUUUGAUCGUCGUCCCCUUUUCCUCUUUACUUAUUUCAGUCCUUCUAAUCUUCAAGGCUGAGUCUGAAUAUUUCUUCCUGAGGCUUCUUCCAAUCCUAUCUGCCCUUAAGGACAACUCCCUCCUCCAACUCCUAUAGCCCUUAUUAUUAUACCUUUCAUUUGAAAAUUUAGUACAUGAUACAUUAUACUAUUAUUGAAUAAAUAGAUGUUCAUUCUCUGCA
rnacentral:lncRNA from 1 species